CCUACGGGAGGCAGCAGUGGGGAAUAUUGGGCAAUGGGCGCAAGCCUGACCCAGCAACGCCGCGUGAAGGAAGAAGGCUUUCGGGUUGUAAACUUCUUUUCUCAGGGACGAAGCAAGUGACGGUACCUGAGGAAUAAGCCACGGCUAACUACGUGCCAGCAGCCGCGGUAAUACGUAGGUGGCAAGCGUUAUCCGGAUUUACUGGGUGUAAAGGGCGUGUAGGCGGGAAAGCAAGUCAGAUGUGAAAACCAUGGGCUCAACCUGUGGCCUGCAUUUGAAACUGUUUUUCUUGAGUACUGGGGAGGCAGACGGAAUUCCUAGUGUAGCGGUGAAAUGCGUAGAUAUUAGGAGGAACACCAGUGGCGAAGGCGGUCUGCUGGACAGCAACUGACGCUGAGGCGCGAAAGCGUGGGGAGCAAACAGGAUUAGAGACCCGGGUAGUC
rnacentral:rRNA from 1 species